GAUCAUGGCUCAGAUUGAACGCUGGCGGCAGGCUUAACACAUGCAAGUCGAACGAUGAUUAUCUAGCUUGCUAGAUAUGAUUAGUGGCGGACGGGUGAGUAACAUUUAGGAAUCUGCCUAGUAGUGGGGGGAUAGCUCGGGGAAACUCGAAUUAAUACCGCAUACGACCUACGGGUGAAAGGGGGCGCAAGCUCUUGCUAUUAGAUGAGCCUAAAUCAGAUUAGCUAGUUGGUGGGG
rnacentral:rRNA from 1 species